AGUUCGAUCAUGGCUCAGAUUGAACGCUGGCGGAAUACUUUACACAUGCAAGUCGAACGGCAGCACGGACUUCGGUCUGGUGGCGAUGGCGAACGGGUGAGUAAUGCUUAUCGGAACGUGCCUAGUAGCGGGGGAUAACUACGCGAAAGCGUAGCUAAUACCGCAUACGCCCUUCGGGGAAAGCGGGGACCUUCGGGCCUCGCACUAUUAGAGCGGCCGAUAUCGGAUUAGCUAGUUGGUGGGGUAACGGCUCACCGAGGCGACGAUCCGUAGCUGGUUUGAGGACGACCAGCCACACUGGGACUGCAGACACGGCCAGACUCCUACGGGAGGCAGCAGUGGGGAAUUUUUGGACAAUGGGGAAACCCUGAUCCAGCCAUCCCGCGUGUGCGAUGAAGGCCUUCGGGUUUGUAAGCACUUUUGGCAGGAAAGAAACGGCACGGGAUAAUACCCCGUGCAGCGACGUACCUGCAGAAUAAGCACCGGCUAACUACGUGCCAGCAGCGCGGUGUCGUAGGGUGCAAGCGUUAAUCGGAAUUACUGGGCGUAAAGCGUGCGCAGGCGGUUCGGAAAGAAGAUGUGAAAUCCCAGAGCUUAACUUUGGAACUGCAUUUUUAACUACCGAGCUAGAGUGUGUCCAGAGGGAGGUGGAAUUCCGCGUGUAGCAGUGAAAUGCGUAGAUAUGCGGAGAAGAACACCGAUGGCGAAAACGGCCUCGCAGGAUAACACUGACGCUCAUGCACGAAAGCGUGGGAGCAAACGGGAUUAGAUGCCCUGGUAGUCCGCGCCCUAAACGAUGUCAACUAGCUGUUGGGGCCUUCGGGCCUUGGUAGCGCAGCUAACGCGUGAAGUUGACCGCCUGGGAAGUCAGUCGCAAGAUUAAAACUCAAAGGAAUUGACGGGGACCCGCACAAGCGGUGGAUGAUGUGGAUUAAUUCGAUGCAACGCGAAAAACCCUUACCCUUGACAUGUCUGGAAUCCCGAAGAGAUUUGGGAGUGCUCGCAAGAGAACCGGAACACAGGUGCUGCAUGGCUGUCGUCAGCUCGUGUCGUGAGAUGUUGGGUUAAGUCCCGCAACGAGCGCAACCCUUGUCAUUAGUUGCUACGAAAGGGCACUCUAAUGGGACUGCCCGUGACAAACCGGAGGAAGGUGGGGAUGACGUCAGGUCCUCCCUUCGGCCCUUAUGGGUGGGACUACACGUCAUACAAUGGUCGGGACAGAGGGUCGCCAACCCGCGAGGAGCCAAUCCCAGAAACCCGAUCGUAAGUCCGGAUCACAGUCUGCAACUCGACUGCGUGAAGUCAGAAUCGCUGUAUCCCGCGGAUCAGCAUGUCGCGGUGAAUACGUUCCCGGGUCUUGUACACACCGCCCGUCACCAUGGGAGUGGGUUUUACCAGUAGUUAGCCUAACCGUAAAGGAGGGCGAUUACCACAGUAGGAUUCAUGACUGGGGUGGGGCGUAACUAAAACAA
rnacentral:rRNA from 1 species